GCGGACGUGGCGGAACCGGUAGACGCAGCAGACUUAAAAUCUGCUAUCCUUUUGGGUGUAUGGGUUCGAGUCCCAUCGUCCGCA
rnacentral:tRNA from 1 species